GUGUCAGCCGCCGCGGUAAUACGGAGGGGGCGAGCGUUAUUCGGAAUUAUUGGGCGUAAAGGGCGCGUAGGCGGCUUGACAAGUCAAAGGUGAAAUCCCUCGGCUCAACUGAGGAACUGCCUUUGAAACUGUCUGGCUUGAGGCCGGGAGAGGGUAGCGGAAUUCCCAGUGUAGCGGUGAAAUGCGUAGAUACUGGGAGGAACACCGGUGGCGAAGGCGGCUACCUGGACCGGUUCUGACGCUGAGGCGCGAAAGCGUGGGUAGCAAACAGGAUUAGAUACCCUUGUAGUCC
rnacentral:rRNA from 1 species